rnacentral:ncRNA from 2 species
AUGGUGGCGAGCGCAGCUGGUUCGGCCGUCCCGCCAGGACGGUCGUGGCAACAGGGAACCCGGUGGGAAUCCGGGACUGCCCCGCAGCGGUGAGUGGGAACGACCGCCGUCAAUCAAGCACUGGGCCGGCCACGGCCUGGGAAGCGACGGCCAGUAGGAACGCCCGUCCGGCUCCGGCCGGCCGGAAACAGCCCACGAGUCCGAAGACCUGCCAGCGCGCCGGACCGGUA